GUCACUGCACUCCAGCUUGGGCGAGAGAGAGAGAGACUCCAUCUCAAAACAAACAAACAAAAAAAUUAGUUUCAACAUGACUAAUUACCUCUGCAAAAGGUUAUAUUCACAGAUGUAUAAGAGGCUAGAUUCUGAUCUAUGGAGUGUAACAAUUGGUCACUUUUUAAUCAACUGAAAUUCAUUUGGUAGAAUGGAAAUGAAAUUCCACCACUAGUUUCCUUGCGAGGCUGACAGGUCAAGCUGGGGUCCAUAAGUCCCUGAAAUUGCAUGCAAAAUUUGGUGUCUGUUUCUUGGUAGAAUUUUUAAAGAGAUCCAUGACUCAAAGACCCACCAUCUAAAUGGCCUUCCUGUGGAGAUACUUGAGCACCUUAAGAGAGAAAUACAUGUUACACAAGCCAAGAAUAUCAAAUCUGCUUUGCUUCUCUAAGACAACAUCAGAAAAAAAUGAAAUACCUUUUCUCUUCUUUUUAGAGUCAACAACAAUGGUUCCAUGAACUGAUGGAGAAAACAAAUGCCUCUUAUUAGAGGCAACAACGAUAGUUCCAUGAACUGAUGGAGAAAAUGAAUUGAAUGACUCUGGGACCACAUUUUCCAGUGGCAUAGUCAUCAGAGGAAGGAGAGCCUACCCAGUGUGAUGUGAAUAAAUGGAUGAGGUUCUACUUUGUUACUGCUUCAUGGCCCAGUUUCCUAAUGCACGUUACGGAUUGUGCAAGUUUACAACAUCAUCUAACUAACUGAACCCCUACAAUGUGAGAAGACUCUGACAAUUGCCUUUCUCAAGAACACCACCUUGGCCACUUCACCUUUCUCUGAAGAGCACCACUCGUCUUUCCCCGGAUGGAUGCAGGAUGCUGCCUCCACAGGGCCACAGAAGCCAUUUUUCCAAGAAGCACCGGCUUCUUGGGCUUUUAGCUUAAUUGGUUUCCAUGUUAGGACCUAGACUUCUGUCCCUCCCUUAUUUUCCCACCAAUCCCCACAGCAGAAUGCAGUCCUCUUCCAAAUAUCUCCAACAGUGGACCGCUCAUCUUCCCGUCAAGCUGUCAGUGAGAGUCUAUUAAAUGGCCCAAUCUUGAAAUCCUUCUGAUGAAGACAAAUGAGAAAUAAACUUAUGAAACAGCUCCGAGUUACA